rnacentral:rRNA from 1 species
GAUGAACGCUGGCGGCGUGCCUAAUACAUGCAAGUCGAGCGAACGGACGAGAAGCUUGCUUCUCUGAUGUUAGCGGCGGACGGGUGAGUAACACGUGGAUAACCUACCUAUAAGACUGGGAUAACUUCGGGAAACCGGAGCUAAUACCGGAUAAUAUUUUGAGCCGCAUGGUUCAAAAGUGAAAGACGGUCUUGCUGUCACUUAUAGAUGGAUCCGCGCUGCAUUAGCUAGUUGGUAAGGUAACGGCUUACCAAGGCAACGAUGCAUAGCCGACCUGAGAGGGUGAUCGGCCACACUGGAACUGAGACACGGUCCAGACUCCUACGGGAGGCAGCAGUAGGGAAUCUUCCGCAAUGGGCGAAAGCCUGACGGAGCAACGCCGCGUGAGUGAUGAAGGUCUUCGGAUCGUAAAACUCUGUUAUUAGGGAAGAACAUAUGUGUAAGUAACUGCGCACAUCUUGACGGUACCUAAUCAGAAAGCCACGGCUAACUACGUG